GACGAACGCUGACAGAAUGCUUAACACAUGCAAGUCAACUUGAAGCAGUUUCGGCUGUGGAUGGUGGCGGACGGGUGAGUAACGCGUAAAUAACUUGACCUUUAGACUGGGACAACUGUUGGAAACGACAGCUAAUACCGGAUACUAUGAAACCUUGGCGUCAAGGGAUUAUGAAAGCUAUAUGCGCUAGAGGAGAGAUUUGCGUCCUAUUAGCUAGUUGGUGAGGUAAUGGCUCACCAAGGCGACGAUAGGUAGCCGGCCUGAGAGGGUGAACGGCCACAAGGGGACUGAGACACGGCCCUUACUCCUACGGGAGGCAGCAGUGGGGAAUAUUGGACAAUGGACCAAGAGUCUGAUCCAGCAAUUCUGUGUGUUUGAAGAAGGCCUUCGGGUUGUAAAGAACUUUAAGUAGGGAAGAAGAAAGUGACGGUACCUACAGAAUAAGCGACGGCUAAAUACGUGCCAGCCGCCGCCGUAA
rnacentral:rRNA from 1 species